rnacentral:rRNA from 1 species
AUGGCGAGAGGAGGCCUAGGUUUCCAGGAUAUGCACGGUUUCAACAUGGCAAUGUUAUCACGUCAGGCUUGGCAUUUGAUCCAAUACCCGGAUACGCUAUGCGCUCAUGUCCUCAAGGCUAGGUACUUUCCUCGUACCAGUGUUCUUGAAGCCGGGGUCAGGGAUGGCAUCUCAUACACCUCGAGGAGCAUGAUUAAGGGGAUACAACUAGUUCGUGAGGGCUACAUAUGGCGAAUAGGUGAUGGUGCCAAUGUGAACAUCUGGACGGACCCGUGGAUCCCAAGGCCGUGGUCAAGGAGGGUCAUUACCCCUAGAGGAAGCGAUCUCCUGAGUAAAGUUAGCGAUCUAAUUAACCCGACUACUGGGCAAUGGGAUGAGCGGUUGGUGUGGGAAACUUUCUUGGUUGAUGAUGCUCGUCAUAUCCUCCAAAUGCCUUUGCGUGAAGGGGUGCAGGACUUCAUUUCUUGGCAGUUUGAUGCGAAGGGAGAACACUCAGUGAAAAGUGCUUACAAAUUAUAUGUCGAGCUGGACACGCGGAGGAAGAAUGGUGGAGUGGGAAUGAGUUCGGCUACUGUUGGUAACCUGAAUGCUUGUCAGGAUGAUUCAUGGAAAAGAAUCUGGAAGUUACCUUGCCCAAGGACUGUGCAAAUGUUUACAUGGCGAGUGAAGCAUGAGUCUUUAGCACUUCUAACCAAUAUGGAAAGAAGAGGGCUCAAGCUUGAGAGCACGAAAUGCUAUUUUUGUGGCCAAGCAGAUGAAGAUGGGGCACACCUAUUUAUCAACUGCAAAGCUGUGAAGGAAGAAUGGAGAAAGCUGGUUCUAGAGAAAGAGAGGAUGGACUUGGAAUGA